rnacentral:misc_RNA from 1 species
GAUGAAGAACGUAGUGAAAUGCGAUAAGUAAUGCGAAUUGCAGAAUUUCCGUGAGUCAUCGAAUCUUUGAACGCACAUUGCGCCCACUGGUAUUCCGGUGGGCAUGCCUGUUCGAGCGUCAUUAUCCUCCCUCAAACCCCGGGUUUGGUGUUGGACCCAAGUUGUGUGAACAACUGGUCUUAAAGACAAUGACGGCGUCCGUGGGACCCUCGGUGCAACGAGCUUUUAGGAGCACGCAUCGAGUUGCAAGGACCUUCCGGGCCGGUCUCCUUUACUAUUUUACAAGGUUGACCUCGGAUCAGGUAGGAAUACCCGCUGAACUUAAGCAUAUCAAAUAAGCGGAGGA